AUGACAGUAAAACAAACGCUUCUGACGGCGGCCUCGUCGCUAGAGCCAGCGGUUGAGACUGUGGGGGAUGGGGUUACUCCACCAGCAUCCCCUUCUCCGGCAGCAGAGCCGACGCCACGACCACAGCCAGGGGUGACUCCUACAUGCCGAAAUUGUCGGCAUUCGGUUGCCGACGACGGUUCUAUGGACACCGAUGAGGACUCAUUGGCCAAGGCUAUGCGGCGUAAAGCAACGCACAACCUCGACAACCAAGGAGGGAUAGACUUUACUUGGAUUUCACAACCGUCUGGAGGUCGUUCUGGUGGCAUUUUACUUGGCGUAAAUACAUGGACUAUGAAUGUUUUGGCUAGUUCGGAUGGUGAGUUUCACGUCAAACUCCAUAUUCGCAACAAGGCCGACAACUUCACAUGGACCCUCGUCGUCAUGCAUGAGGCAGCCUAG
rnacentral:rRNA from 1 species